GCUCGUGUGGUCUAGUGGUAUGACGUUCGCCUCACAUCUGUUCUUCAGUGGUCGCGACAGGUCCCAGGUUCGAUCCCUGGUAUGAGCA